rnacentral:rRNA from 1 species
AUGCGUAGAUAUCGGGAAGAACACCAGUGGCGAAGGCGCUCUGCUGGGCCAUAACUGACGCUCAUGGACGAAAGCCAGGGGAGCGAAAGGGAUUAGAUACCCCUGUAGUCCUGGCCGUAAACGAUGAACACUAGGUGUCGGGGGAAUCGACCCCCUCGGUGUCGUAGCCAACGCGUUAAGUGUUCCGCCUGGGGAGUACGCACGCAAGUGUGAAACUCAAAGGAAUUGACGGGGGCCCGCACAAGCGGUGGAGUAUGUGGUUUAAUUCGAUGCAACGCGAAGAACCUUACCAGGGUUUGACAUCCUGCGAAUCUCCUGGAAACGGGAGAGUGCCUUCGGGAACGCAGUGACAGGUGGUGCAUGGCUGUCGUCAGCUCGUGUCGUGAGAUGUUGGGUUAAGUCCCGCAACGAGCGCAACCCACGUCUUUAGUUGCCAGCAUUCAGUUGGGCACUCUAGAGAGACCGCCGGUGAUAAACCGGAGGAAGGUGUGGAUGACGUCAAGUCAUCAUGCCCCUUACAUCCUGGGCUACACACGUACUACAAUGCUACGGACAAAGGGCAGCAAACUCGCGAGAGCUAGCAAAUCCCAUAAACCGUGGCUCAGUUCAGAUCGUAGGCUGCAACUCGCCUACGUGAAGGAGGAAUCGCUAGUAAUCGCAGGUCAGCAUACUGCGGUGAAUACGUUCCCGGGCCUUGUACACACCGCCCGUCACACCAUGGAAGUUGGCCACGCCCGAAGCCGUUACUCCAACCCUUGUGGAGGAGGACGUCGAAGGUGGGGCUGAUGACUGGGGUGAAGUCGUAACAAGGUAGCCGUACCGGAAGGUGCGGCUG